AUUGAACGCUGGCGGUAGGCCUAACACAUGCAAGUCGAACGCGAAAGUCCUUCGGGAUGAGUAGAGUGGCGGACGGGUGAGUAACGCGUAGGAAUCUAUCCUGUAGUGGGGGAUAACGUUUCGAAAGGAACGCUAAUACCGCAUACGCCCCAAGGGGGAAAGCGGGGGAUCUUCGGACCUCGUGCUAUAGGAGGAGCCUGCGUCGGAUUAGCUAGUUGGUGAGGUAAAGGCUCACCAAGGCGACGAUCCGUAGCUGGUCUGAGAGGAUGAUCAGCCACACCGGAACUGAGACACGGUCCGGACUCCUACGGGAGGCAGCAGUGGGGAAUAUUGCGCAAUGGGCGAAAGCCUGACGCAGCCAUACCGCGUGUGUGAAGAAGGCCUUCGGGUUGUAAAGCACUUUCAGUGGGGAGGAAAAGCUGGUGGCUAAUAUCCAUCGGCCGUGACGCUACCCACAGAAGAAGCACCGGCUAAUUCCGUGCCAGCCGCCGCCGUAACAC
rnacentral:rRNA from 1 species